AUUGAACGCUGGCGGCAGGCCUAACACAUGCAAGUCGGGCGCGCGGCGGACGGGUGAGUAAUGUAUGGGGAUCUGCCUGAUGGCGGGGGAUAACUACUGGAAACGGUAGCUAAUACCGCAUACCAUCAGAUGAACCCAUUUGGGAUUAGCUAGUAGGUGAGGUCACGGCUUACCUAGGCGACGAUCCCUAGCUGGUCUGAGAGGAUGAUCAGCCACACUGGGACUGAGACACGGCCCAGACUCCUACGGGAGGCAGCAGUGGGGAAUAUUGCACAAUGGGGGCAAGCCCGAUGCAGCCAUGCCGCGUGUAUUAAGAAGGCCUUCGGGUUGAAAAGUACUUUCAGUCGGGAGGCGUUACCGAGAGAGGAAGCACCGGCUAACUCCGUGCCAGCAGCCGCGGUAAUAC
rnacentral:rRNA from 1 species